rnacentral:rRNA from 1 species
AUUGAACGCUGGCGGCAGGCCUAACACAUGCAAGUCGAACGGUAACAGGAAGAAGCUUGCUUCUUUGCUGACGAGUGGCGGACGGGUGAGUAAUGUCUGGGAAACUGCCUGAUGGAGGGGGAUAACUACUGGAAACGGUAGCUAAUACCGCAUAACGUCGCAAGACCAAAAAGGGGGACCUUCAGGCCUCUUGCCAUCGGAUGUGCCCAGAUGGGAUUAGCUAGUAGGUGGGGUAACGGCUCACCUAGGCGACGAUCCCUAGCUGGUCUGAGAGGAUGACAAGCCACACUGGAACUGAGACACGGUCCAGACUCCUACGGGAGGCAGCAGUGGGGAAUAUUGCACAAUGGGCGCAAGCCUGAUGCAGCCAUGCCGCGUGUAUGAAGAAGGCCUUCGGGUUGUAAAGUACUUUCAGCGGGGAGGAAGGGAGUAAAGUUAAUACCUUUGCUCAUUGACGUUACCCGCAGAAGAAGCACCGGCUAACUCCGUG